rnacentral:piRNA from 1 species
UGCAGUUAUGUUGCGGGGAGGUCACUGCC